AAUCACUGGCCAAUUGUGUCAGAGAAGAUCUGGCUCUGAUCAUCCUCAUCAUGGUUCAUCAUGUAAAUGUGCAGGGGUCUACUUUACCCUAACUUUAUCUGCUCAUUCAUCAUCUCUGUCUGUGAACUCAUCAUGAGUGAAGCAUGGGUUAGGCCCCAAGCUGAGGCGGAGUGACAGUGGUGAAGGACUGGAAGGUCAACCUUCUGCCUUCAUGAAACUCUGUGCUUGAACUCUGUCUUUAGUGAAUCACAAAUGUGGCUCUUAGAAUUCUGUAGAAAAAAUUUUUUUUCCAAAGUUUUAUAUAUAUAUAUAUGUAUAUAUAUAUAUACAUAUAUAUAUAUAUAUGUAUGUAUGUAUCUUUUUGGGCCUACUGGAUUUUUAUGUCUUUCUUAAGUUACUAGAUGUUGUGGGACUCAUAGUCCCCUUGAGAAAAUAGAAAGGACACUUGCAUGAACCACAGCAUCGGAUUGUAUGGACAUGGACCUCCCAAAUUUUAUUUCAGAGCCUGCUAAGUUGUCUGUAUCCAGGAAGGCUUUUUAAUGGAAAGUCUUCACCUUAAGUUCAACUCAACGAGCCACAAAUGAUGCAAUGUCUUAAAAGAGCCACCCCGCUGUGCCUUUUGUGCCUCUGUUUCCUCUGUGAAUGCUGUACCAGGCAUCCUAAGUGACCAACCUCCUCUGUACUCAGAGAUGGAUCCUCACCUAUGCACAGAUGGUUCCUGGGUAGACUAGAGAUGGGUGUUCCUAAUUCUUACCUCUGCAUGUAUUAGGCCUUGUGAGACUGAACUUUGCAUGUGCCUCAACCUCCAAGACUCAUUAGUUGAAAUCUUAACUCCUACCAUGGCUAUAUUUAUAGUAAUAAAGACGUCAAGACUGGCCAAGGUUGUGCAGGGUGAGACCUUAAUAUCAGAAUUAAAACCCUUAUAAAAAGCCAAAGAAGAGCUUGUAGCUGAUUUUUUUGUCUCUCUCCCAUGCUUCACUUUGUGUGAACACAAAGGAAAGAAGAUGUAAGAUCAUAGUGAGGUAACCAGGAAGAUGGUCCUGCAAGCAAGGGAUCUAACUUCCCAGAAUCUAGUCUAUCAGUCAGUCGUCAGUUAGUCAGUCAGUCAGUCAGUCAGUCAGUCUGUCGUCUGUCUGUAGCAAUUCUCUUGAGCAUCCUGAGAUUAGCAUGGGCUUACAAAUGAAAGAGCUAUGUUGAUUCAAGAAUGGAAUAUGGCCAAGGGUGAGGCUGAGCUCACAAUGGGACAGGGCAACAAAGGAACUCAAAGGAGCUCCCCUCCUGGUUGGUGUCCACCAAGACCAGGGGCUUAGAGGUUGGAGGCAGACUUAGUCCCUCCAUGACUGCCUUCCAGACUUUAUAAGCCUGUUUAGGAGUACAUCAGAUGAGUUCAAGGCUAGCCUCAGCUGCAGAAUGUGUUUCAGGCCAGCCAAGGCUGCAUGAGUGGCUGAGAAUAAAGCUUCCUGGGAAUGAGGUGGCUUGGCCCUGGUAUGGCCUGCCGACUGACUUCACACACCUGGAUAUGCCUUGACCUGUUUGAGUCUCUGUUUUUCUGUAUAUCUUGUUAUAGAAAACAUAUGGCAGCCUCCCAGCAGGGCCAAGAAAGGAGCCUCAAGCUUUAAUCCCAGCCUGAGUGGCACCCACAAAAGCUGUAAAUAAUUUAACAAAAGACUAACCUUCUAAAAGCCCAGGAGUGGCACACACAGAGGCAGUCUU